UGGGGAAUAUUGCACAAUGGGCGAAAGCCUGAUGCAGCGACGCCGCGUGCGGGAUGAAGGCCUUCGGGUUGUAAACCGCUUUUAAUUGGGAGCAAGCGAGAGUGAGUGUACCUUUUGAAUAAGCACCGGCUAACUACGUGCCAGCAGCCGCGGUAAUACGUAGGGUGCAAGCGUUAGCCGGAAUUAUUGGGCGUAAAGAGCUCGUAGGCGGUUUGUCACGCCUGGUGUGAAAGUCCAUCGCUUAACGGUGGAUCUGCGCCGGGUACGGGCAGGCUAGAGUGCAGUAGGGGAGAUUGGAAUUCCCGGUGUAACGGUGGAAUGUGUAGAUAUCGGGAAGAACACCAAUGGCGAAGGCAGAUCUCUGGGCUGUUACUGACGCUGAGGAGCGAAAGCAUGGGGAGCGAACAGGA
rnacentral:rRNA from 1 species